rnacentral:rRNA from 1 species
AUUGAACGCUGGCGGCAUGCCUUACACAUGCAAGUUGAACGGCAGCACGGGAGCAAUCCUGGUGGCGAGUGGCGAACGGGUGAGUAAUGUAUCGGAACGUACCUUUCAGUGGGGGAUAACGUAGCGAAAGUUACGCUAAUACCGCAUAUUCUGUGAGCAGGAAAGCAGGGGAUCGCAAGACCUUGCGCUGAUUGAGCGGCCGAUAUCAGAUUAGCUAGUUGGUGAGGUAAAGGCUCACCAAGGCGACGAUCUGUAGCGGGUCUGAGAGGAUGAUCCGCCACACUGGAACUGAGACACGGUCCAGACUCCUACGGGAGGCAGCAGUGGGGAAUUUUGGACAAUGGGCGCAAGCCUGAUCCAGCCAUGCCGCGUGAGUGAAGAAGGCCUGG